rnacentral:rRNA from 1 species
UACGGAGGGUGCAAACGUUGCUCGGAAUCAUUGGGCGUAAAGCGCACGUAGGCGGCUUCUUAAGUCGGGUGUGAAAGCCCUCGGCUCAACCGAGGAAGUGCAUUCGAAACUGAGGGGCUUGAAUACUGGAGAGGAUGGCGGAAUUCCCGGUGUAGAGGUGAAAUUCGUAGAUAUCGGGAGGAGCACCAGCGGCGAAGGCGGCCAUCUGGACAGAUAUUGACGCUGAGGUGCGAAAGCGUGGGGAGCAAACAGG